rnacentral:sRNA from 45 species
AUAUCUCUCCGUACGGGAAGGAUGAGAAGCUUCGACUAAGGUUCGAUUCGAGCGAAAGCGAGAAAGCGUUGCCGCAGGCAACGACCCGAAGGGCGAAGCGCGCAGCGCUGAGUCAUCCUUCCCCCACCACCA